rnacentral:rRNA from 1 species
GACGAACGCUGGCGGCGUGCCUAACACAUGCAAGUCGAACGGAAAGGCCCUGUUUUUGUGCGGUGCUCGAGUGACGAACGGGUGAGCUACCCGUGGGUAACCUACCCUUGCCUUUGGGAUAACUUCAGAAAACUGGGGCUAUUACCGGCAAGGAGUUCCUGCUGUAUGGUGGGGGUUGGUAAGUUUAGGCGGUUGGGGAUGGAAUCGCGGCUUAUCUGCUUGUUGAAGGGGUAGUGGCUUACCAAGGUUAUGACCGGUAGCCGGCCUGAGAGGAUGACCGGCCACGUUAGGACUGAAAUACGGCCCAGACUCCUACGGUAGGCAACGGUGGGGAAUAGUGCACAAUAGACGGAAGCCUAAUGCAGCAACGCCACGUGCGGUAUGACGUCCAUCGGGUUGUAAACCGCUUUCGCCUGUGACGAAGCGUGAGUGACGGUAAUGGGUAAAGAAGCACCGGCUAACUACGUG